ACUUCCUGCAUUGGCCUCCAGCCAAUCCACAGUAUCUCCAAGGAAACCUGGGGCUGGUUGCCAUGGACACUCCUUUGCUGAUAAGUCGCAGAGCACCUCUCCACUUCUCAACGUGCCUGGGAAGCAAGUCCUUUGGGCAGACAGACAAUUGUAUUCAUUGACAUUUCCAAGCCCCACCAGCUCACAUCCUCUCCACGUGUAUGGAAUAGACAUACAAAGGAGCCUUUCAAAUAUUUGUACCUGUCCAAACUAGCACGGAGUGAAGCUAUCCUAGCCUUUGUAAUUUGGUUUCAAGCCAUGGGGGAUAAAUACGCUUCAGCAAAUAUCAAGCCUGAAGUGGAGCGAUUGGACUGGAGCGAUCAGAGCAGCAGGAGGGGUUGAUGUUGUGAUCUCUCAGCUUCCUCCUCCAGUCACAUACAGCCACUGUUUCUCCACAAUAUGGAUUCUUCCUUUGAAACCAUAAGUUCCAAUAAACUAUUUCUUCCUUAAAUUGCCUUUGGUCACGGUACUGUAUCACAGCAACAAAAAUGUAACAGAGACAGAUGGUACCAAGCAAAUGAGCCACAACCUCGCCUCCCAACUCUGCACACAGAACUCACUAAUCUCUACCCUCAUUGUCGUGAGGGACUAACAGCUGCCCCACCAGACCAUGAACUAAAGUCAGCGUUUCCUCCUUUGAGCUGUGUCUGUCAGGAGCCUUGGACACAGCAGUGGAAAAGCUGCCAAUACACCACCAAGAAAUGUUUUGCCACAAGCCUUAUGAUUACAUUUUACAUAAAAACUGGAGCAUGGCUUCUUGUGGUUGAGUUUGGUUACAUGGACAACCUUCUUUUGGGAUGUCUCUCCUCAUUGCCCCCAAAUUAACUAUAUAGGGAAGGAACUCCAGAUAGGAAGCUGAUUUGCAGCCAACACAAAAAUAUGAAGAAUAAUGUUUUUGAAUGUUUAACAUAAACCGUGUGAACAGACAGGGAGCUAUGGAAACAUCCACUCCAGAUUGUUAGCAUGAGUCAGCAUGUGGAGGAGGUCGGGUAAAAUUAGUGUGUAUGGAGGAAAGUUAUUCGCUCUCCUCCUUGUGUAUGUCUGUAUUGUUGUUCUUUUAAAAAUGAAAAUAGUUUUGAAGUGAAAUUGGCAAGUUGUUAUUUUUAGGAAAUUAACUGGCAGUUUUUUUAAAAUCUUCCCUAUGAGAUUAUAGGCUAUUAAUAUGAGAAAAUGAUAAUAUAAUCUAGGAGGAAGAUACAUAUUUUCAACUUGCUUAGAAGUUGGGAGUGAUGCCUGAUUUCUAUAAGAGAAAGUGACUUUCUCCAACACAGUGGGAAUGACCCCUGCCCCAGCUCCUGAAAUCAAGGAAGGCUGACUCCUGCAUGCAAUGGGAUAAAGGGGUUCAACUAGGAAUAUCCAUCGACCACACUUCUUUCUACGCAAGCAGGCUCUUGUCAGAGGCAGUGGCAAAGAUGUCCUGGCAUAGCCGAGCUCCCAGGCUGGCACAUAUAGUAGGCAAAUGUCACCAUAACCAGUCUACCCUGCAGUAAGAGCUUGCAGAGAACGGCAACAUGAGAGGAACAACCAACCCAGACAGAGCCUGGAUAUGGUAGGGCUGACCUGAGAGCAGCAGGAACCUGCCUUGCUGGCAUCAGGCCUGGACUGUGGGUAGACAGAAGAAUCAUGGGUGAGUCUGAGCUGAUUUCCCACAGGAGGUCUGGUGAACCCUUAUUCUUUGUGAUACCAUUCUCCUAUCCAGUAAUGCCACUCUUUCAUCUGCAGAACGGGGAAGCAAGCCUUCCAUCCUGGCUCUCAGCCUGAACAGUUCAGACACAUAUUUUCUAUUCCUCCUACUGCUGACUUCUAAUUUCUCUUCUUUUGCUUAAUUUUCGAAGAACAGGUUUGUUUUCUGUUUUCAGAUGAUUUAAUAUUGAGUUCUGCAACUUACCUCCCUUCUACUUUUCUUGGAUUUAUUUUGAAAUUAUUUUCUCAAUAUUCUGAGGUGAAUGCUUAGAUCAAAUAUUUGUAUUCCUUCUUGUUUAAUAGCACAGGUAGUAGAGGUCUUAUGAAUUUUAUGUUGAAUAAAACUUUGAGUACAUCUAAUAAGUUUUUGAUGCAAAAUUGCUUUUAUCCUUGUUGCCAGCAUAGUGUGUGAUUGCUUUCCUUUUUCUCUCUGGUCUAGAAACAAGUGGUUUCAAGUGGUUUUCAUUUAAAAGCCCAAAGGACUUCAAUUUAACCUAUUUUUUAAUUCUUAAUGUUUAUGAAUGUAUUCCUUGUCAGUUCCUAUUUUUUAAAUGUGUUGAGAUUUUCUUCAUAAUAUAUUGCAACCUCAAAUACUUUAUUUGAAAAGAAUAACAUUCUCCAUAGAGAAAGUUCAGUAAAAUAUUUGUUAUUUAUUCAUUUUAUGUGUAUGGUUGUUUUGUUUAUGUGUGUACCUGUGUACUAUGUGUGUUCCUGUUGACCAUGUCCAGAAGAGGACAUAAGAUCCCCUGUAUAUAUGUAGGUGAUGGGAAUAGAACCUGGAUCCUGGAAAAGUAGUUAUUGGUCUUACAUCUGAAUCAUAUCUCCAGCCUCUGGUUAUCUGUUUUUUACCUUAGUGCCAAGGGUCUGAGUUAAUAACACUCCUAGUUUCAUAAGACAAUGUUAUUAGUACAAGACAGGUUUUCCUCUUUAAGCUAAUCUGCAUUAAUCUACUUUAUUUCCAACAUAUUAAUUCUUCUCUU
rnacentral:lncRNA from 1 species